AAAACGGCUCUUUUUAGAGCCACAAAAUUUUACACGUUAUAAUAAA
rfam:Pediculus humanus corporis strain TSDA 1103172085537, whole genome shotgun sequence.